UUGCACUUUGGUGUCCAAGCUCUCUGGUCAUUGGAGUGUGCACAGCAGAACACUAUGGAACAACUCAAGGCCAAAGAAGCACUCCAGAUCAGACCAGAGCCAAAGAGGCAUGUUCCACAUUCAGUCAGGCUAAUGGCUCUAAUUCCUGCCAGGUCAUCUUAAUGACCAGCUCCAUGCCUGACCUUACAUGCUGACUCCAGGAGAGUAGAGGUCUAGCUGCAAGUGCAAGUGGAAGCUAGCACACAGAAAAGCUUCUUGGUCCAGCCCUGUCAAACCCAGCGCAGGUGGCAGCCGAUGUCGCUCUGGCGUCCUAUAAAAGAAGUCUCAAUCAACAGGCUGUGCUAGAGGAAGGCCCCCACGGUCCCUUUAAACAUGUCCAAAAGACUCUGUCUAUCAGCGGAUCAAUCAGAGAUGGCUAAUCAAUGAGCUUUUGUGCAAGAGUGUCAUUUGCCCUUGGGGACAGAGGGCCUUUUCAUCCAACCAUGCAGCCCAGGAAACUUGCCCAGUUAGAUUAUAAGUUAGAACUAAUGUCUAAAAGGUGAUAGAUAUGAACAUGCUUUAAAAAGUUUGAGCUGGGUGGAAACCCACUUAAGGUAGCCCAAAUACGAUUGAAUGCAAAUUGAGGCUAAUAAAAGGUAAUACAUGGAUGAA